AUUGAACGCUGGCGGCAUGCCUUACACAUGCAAGUCGAACGGUAACGGGCCUUCGGGUGCCGACGAGUGGCGAACGGGUGAGUAAUACAUCGGAACGUGCCCGAUCGUGGGGGAUAACGGGGCGAAAGCUUUGCUAAUACCGCAUACGAUCUACGGUUGAAAGCCGGGGACCGCAAGGCCUUGCGCGGACGGUGCGGCCGAUGGCAGAUUAGGUAGUUGGUGGGAUAAAAGCUUACCAAGCCGACGAUCUGUAGCUGGUCUGAGAGGAUGAUCAGCCACACUGGGACUGAGACACGGCCCAGACUCCUACGGGAGGCAGCAGUGGGGAAUUUUGGACAAUGGGCGCAAGCCUGAUCCAGCCAUGCCGCGUGCAGGAUGAAGGCCUUCGGGUUGUAAACUGCUUUUGUACGGAACGAAAAGCCUUCUUUUAAUACAGGAGGGUCAUGACGGUACCGUAAGAAUAAGCACCGGCUAACUACGUG
rnacentral:rRNA from 1 species